GACGAACGCUGGCGGCGUGGAUUAGGCAUGCAAGUCGGACGGUAGGGCUUUAUCGUAAGAUAGAGUUUGAGAGUGGCGAACGGGUGAGUAACACGUAGGAAUCUACCCUUAAGACGGGGACAACCCAGGGAAACUUGGGCUAAUACCGGAUGAGAGUGCGAGAGAUUGCAUUUAAAAGGAUGGCGAAAGUUGUCGCUUAGGGAUGAGCCUGCGGUCUAUUAGUUAGUUGGUGAGGUAAGAGCUCACCAAGGCGAUGAUAGAUAGGCGGCCUUAACGGGUGGUCGCCCACACUGGGAUUGAGAUACGGCCCAGACUCCUACGGGAGGCAGCAGUCGAGAAUAGUCUACAAUGGCCGGAAGGCUGAUAGUGCGACGCCGCGUGAACGAAGAAUCCCUUCGGGGUGUAAAGUUCUUUUAUACGUGAGCAGUGCCCUUUAUAUGAAUAGUAUAGAGGGAGGGAUUUAAGCGUAUGAAUAAGCAACGGCUAACUCCGUG
rnacentral:rRNA from 1 species